UGUAGAGUUUGAUCCUGGCUCAGAUUGAACGCUGGCGGCAUGCCUUACACAUGCAAGUCGAACGGUA
rnacentral:rRNA from 1 species